GAUCAACGCUGGCGGCGUGCCUAAUACAUGUAAGUCGAACGAAGGUUUUGUAGUAAUACGAAAACCUUAGUGGCGAAUGGGUGAGUAACGCGUUGGUGACCUACCCCAAAGAGGGGGAUAACAGCUCGAAAGGGCUGCUAAUACCCCAUGUGGUCACGAGGGCUAGAGGCCUUGUGACUAAAGAUGCAAAUCGCUUUGGGCGGGGCCUGCGUCCCAUCAGCUUGUUGGUAGGGUAAUGGCCUACCAAGGCGACGACGGGUAGGGGGCCUGAGAGGGUGGCCCCCCACACUGGCACUGAAACACGGGCCAGACACCUACGGGUGGCUG
rnacentral:rRNA from 1 species